UAAGUAAAGUGUGAAAGCAUGCGGCUUAACCGUAUAUACAUACUUUAAACUGCUCAGCUUGAGGACGAGAGAGGUAGAUGGAAUUCCCAGUGUAGGAGUGAAAUCCGUAGAUAUUGGGAGGAACACCAAUGGCGUAGGCAGUCUACUGGCUCGUUUCUGACACUAAGGCACGAAAGCAUGGGAGCAAACAGGAUUAGAUACCCUGGUAGUCCAUGCCGUAAACGAUGGAUGCUA
rnacentral:rRNA from 1 species